rnacentral:lncRNA from 1 species
CUGAAAGCAGCCUGGGAGGGGUGACGGGGUGUAGGAGCAGAGACUUCAAGUGGCCCCCACCUGCCAAACCAUUCUCAGGGACAGGUACCAGCUGCGAUGUUGGCAGCAGCCGCUCCCCUGCAAGGAGAACCUCCCACUUCCUGUCCCGCACACCUGCCUCAUUGGAAAGUGACGCACCCACUGUUUGGCCUCGGCAGCCUGAUGUUUCUCAUCACACAGGAAGACGUCAGACCGAGACCACGCCACACACCCAGAAGGCACCCAAGUCACAGAGCCUGAUAUUGUUCCCGGAGCGCCACUGCAUCAUCCUUGACCACAAGACCUGCGUCAUUGGAUUUGUCUCAAAAACUUGGGACUCUGGAGAUAAAACUUCAUUGCAAGGCUACCUUUGCCACUGCAUCUUAGCAGCUUUUGAAGCA